CGCAUUUGUCGGUUCCGGCACACCACAACCGACUUUUUCAUAUUAUUAUAGAUCUCAUAUAGGGACCUUACAUAAUUACUUCUAAUAUGCUCAUUACGGCUUUUGAUGCCACGACCAUAACUUGCUUUACUAUAAAUCUCCAGCAGCACAGAUCAAUCAAGUAAGUUUAAACCAAUCAAAAAUAAGUAACAUCCUAUAUAUAAAAUAGGCUAACUAAGGAAGCCAGC